rnacentral:rRNA from 1 species
GAUGAACGCUAGCGGCAGGCCUAAUACAUGCAAGUCGAACGGUGUCUUCGGACAUAGUGGCGCACGGGUGCGUAACACGUAUGCAACCUACCUUACAUUGGGGGAUAGCCUUUCGAAAGGGAGAUUAAUACCGCAUAAGACAGUAGCUGGGCAUCCAGCAGCUGUUAAAGAUUUAUCGAUGUAAGCUGGGCAUGCGUCCAAUUAGCUAGUUGGUGAGGUAAAGGCUCACCAAGGGAAUGAUUGGUAGGGGAACUGAGAGGUCAAUCCCCCACACUGGAACGGAGAUACGGGCCAGAGUCCUACGGGAGGCAGCAGUAGGGAAUAUUGGGCAAUGGACGCAAGUCGUACCCAGCCAUGCCGCGUGCAGGAUGAAGGCGUUAUGCGUUGUAAACUGCUUUUAUACAGGAAGAAACGACUCUUGCGAGAGGCAUUGACGGUACUGUAUGAAUAAGCACCGGCUAACUCCGUGCCAGCAGCCGCCGUAACAC